rnacentral:tRNA from 1 species
GACAUUUUGGCCGAGUGGUUAAGGCGUCACACUCGAAUUGUAUAAUGUAGAGCACUAUGUGAUGGGAUUUCCCGCGCAGGUUCAAAUCCUGCAGAUGUCG